GACGAACGCUGGCGGCGUGCUUAACACAUGCAAGUCGAACGAAGAGCGAUGGAAGCUUGCUUCUAUCAAUCUUAGUGGCGAACGGGUGAGUAACGCGUAAUCAACCUGCCCUUCAGAGGGGGACAACAGUUGGAAACGACUGCUAAUACCGCAUACGAUCUAAUCUCGGCAUCGAGGAUAGAUGAAAGGUGGCCUCUACAUGUAAGCUAUCACUGAAGGAGGGGAUUGCGUCUGAUUAGCUAGUUGGAGGGGUAACAGCCCACCAAGGCGAUGAUCAGUAGCCGAUCUGAGAGGAUGAACGGCCACAUUGGGACUGAGACACGGCCCAGACUCCUACGGGAGGCAGCAGUGGGGAAUCUUCCGCAAUGGACGAAAGUCUGACGGAGCAACGCCGCGUGAGUGAUGACGGCCUUCGGGUUGUAAAGCUCUGUUAAUCGGGACGAAAGGCCUUCUUGCGAAUAGUGAGAAGGAUUGACGGUACCGGAAUAGAAAGCCACGGCUAACUACGUG
rnacentral:rRNA from 1 species